AUUGAACGCUGGCGGCAGGCCUAACACAUGCAAGUCGAACGGUAACAGGAAACAGCUUGCUGUUUCGCUGACGAGUGGCGGACGGGUGAGUAAUGUCUGGGAAACUGCCUGAUGGAGGGGGAUAACUACUGGAAACGGUAGCUAAUACCGCAUAACGUCGCAAGACCAAAGAGGGGGACCUUCGGGCCUCUUGCCAUCGGAUGUGCCCAGAUGGGAUUGGUUAGUAGGUGGGGUAACGGCUCACCUAGGCGACGAUACCUAGCUGGUCUGAGAGGAUGACCAGCCACGCUGGAGCUGAGACACGGUCCAGACUCCUACGGGAGGCAGCAGUGGGGAAUAUUGCACAAUGGGGGCAAGCCUGAUGCAGCCAUGCCGCGUGUAUGAAGAAGGCCUUCGGGUUGUAAAGUACUUUCAGCGGGGGUGAAGGGAGUAAAGUUAAUACCUUUGCUAAUUGACGUUACCCGCAGAAGAAGCACCGGCUAACUACGUG
rnacentral:rRNA from 1 species